rnacentral:rRNA from 1 species
CAGUCGCCGCGGGAAUACGGAGGGGGCUAGCGUUGUUCGGAAUUACUGGGCGUAAAGCGCACGUAGGCGGCUUGGUAAGUUAGAGGUGAAAGCUCGGAGCUCAACUCCGGAAUUGCCUUUAAGACUGCCGAGCUAGCAGGUGAGAGAGGUAAGUGGAAUUCCGAGUGUAGAGGUGAAAUUCGUAGAUAUUCGGAAGAACACCAGUGGCGAAGGCGGCUUACUGGCUCAUACUGGACGCUGAGGUGCGAAAGCGUGGGGAGCAAACAGGAUUAGAGACCCCCGUAGUCCCUGUCUCUUAUAC